GUGAAAUUGUUGAAAGGGAAACGCUUGAAGUCAGUCAUGUCCUUUAGAAAUCAACCUGACUUUGGUUGGGCGCACUUUCUUCUGGACAGGUCAGCAUCAGUUUUGACCAUUGGAAAAGGAGUCUGGAAAGGUAGCACCUCUUGAGGUGUGUUAUAGUCUGAACUCAUAUACAGUGGUUGGGACUGAGGAACUCAGCGUGAUCAGGUCUUUUGGCUUGGUUUGGAGGUUUCGGCCUCACACAACGCGCUUUGGAUGCUGGCGUAAUGGCUUUAAUCGACCCGUCUUGAAACACGGACCAAGGAGUCUAACAUACAUGCAAGUGUUUGGGUGAAAAACCCAUGCGCGAAAUGAAAGUGAAAGUUAAGAACCCUCAAGGGUGCAUUGACGCCUGGCCCAGAACAAUUUGUGACGGAGCUACGGUAGAGCAUGCAUGUUGGGACCCGAAAGAUGGUGAACUAUGCCUGAAUAGGGUGAAGCCAGAGGAAACUCUGGUGGAAGCUCGCAGCGAUUCUGACGUGCAAAUCGAUCGUCAAAUUUGGGUAUAGGGGCGAAAGACUAAUCGAACCAUCUAGUAGCUGGUUCCCGCCGAAGUUUCCCUCAGGAUAGCAGACGCUCAUUUAUUCAGA
rnacentral:rRNA from 1 species